UUUAAAUUUAAACUGAUAAAGAUUAAAUCAAGUUAAAAACUCAGUUCCUCAAGUGUUCAAUAACCCCCAUUGACUGGUGACAGCUCAAUUGAACAACACAGGUAGAGGACAUGUCCGUUAUCACAGAAAAUUCUACUGGGCAGGGCUGAAACAGAGGCUAGAUCGUAGUCCAACCUCGUCAUUUUAUAGAUGGGGAAACUGAGGCCCAAUGAGGCUAAGAAUCUUCCUCAUGGUCUCAGCUCCCAACAGUCACCCUGGCUCCUCCACGCGAGGAGAACUGGGGAAAGAGUUUGGACUUUUGAGACUGGAGGUUUCCUGAUCCACACAUUUUCCUUCCUCCUGUCCGCCUCCCCCCACUGAAAUGUCAGGUUCCAUGUCUGCUCGCCUCUGUCAGCGCCUGGCACAUGCUGGGAGCUCAAAUGGUUGCUGACUGGAUAAACGAAGACCAGGAAGGUGGACGGAGUCAUGCAGGGAGCAAGCAGAGAAGGGGCCACAGCAGGAAUCUUUCCAAAGGCGGGUGGAGGAGAAGCAGGAUGAAAAGGAGUGGACGGAGCUGCAGGAGGCAACCUGAGACAGAGAGAGAAAAGAGAGUUCCAGAAGGAAGGAAGGAAGACAAUCAGCAUAACGGUUCCCUUGUGCUAAAUGUGACACCCGAGACAAGGCUACCAGCUACCAGCGCUGCCUGCACGCUCCCUGCUCCAUCCUGGAUUCCAGCAACGAUGACGAACAGCCUCAGGCCCCAGCCCAGCAUGCCUCCUCUGCCCCCAGAACAGAAGCAACAUGGGGCGGGGGAGAUCCCUUGGGCCCUGAUGUCGGAGGACCUGGACUCAAGCCUUGGCUUGGCCUCUUAUGAGUUGGCUGAGCAGGGGUAAUCUCUGGGCCUCAGUGUUCUCACCUAGGAAAUGGGGACGAUAAUCUCAUAUCUCAGACUCAAAUGAGAAAGUGCUUUGCACACAGGGGAGGGCUGUGCAAAUUUGGGAGUGGGAGCCAGGGGGCUAUUCUAGGACUGGAGGGGCCAAAGCCUUUGACUCUGUGUCAAGGAAGAAGCAGGUGCUGAGGACCGUGCCCACUCCAUCCUUCUUUAGUUUUCUGUAAAAAUAAAAGGGGGGGUGGUGGUUUCA
rnacentral:lncRNA from 1 species